rnacentral:rRNA from 1 species
CCUACGGGUGGCAGCAGUGAGGAAUAUUGGUCAAUGGACGAGAGUCUGAACCAGCCAAGUAGCGUGAAGGAUGACUGCCCUAUGGGUUGUAAACUUCUUUUAUAUGGGAAUAAAAUGUUCCACGUGUGGGAUUUUGUAUGUACCAUAUCAAUAAGGAUCGGCUAACUUCGUGCCAGCAGCCGCGGUAAUACGGUGGGUCCGAGCGUUAUCCGGAUUUAUUGGGUUUAAAGGGAGCGUAGGUGGAUUGUUAAGUCAGUUGUGAAAGUUUGCGGCUCAACCGUAAAAUUGCAGUUGAAACUGGCAGUCUUGAGUACAGUAGAGGUGGGCGGAAUUCGUGGUGUAGCGGUGAAAUGCUUAGAUAUCACGAAGAACUCCGAUUGCGAAGGCAGUUCACUGGACUGCAACUGACACUGAGGCUCGAAAGUGUGGGUAUCAAACAGGAUUAGAUACCCUUGUAGUC